UACGUAGGGUGCAAGCGUUGUCCGGAAUUAUUGGGCGUAAAGAGCUCGUAGGCGGUUCGUCACGUCGGCUGUGAAAUCCCGAGGCUCAACCUCGGGUCUGCAGUCGAUACGGGCGGACUGGAGUACUGCAGGGGAGACUGGAAUUCCUGGUGUAGCGGUGAAAUGCGCAGAUAUCAGGAGGAACACCGGUGGCGAAGGCGGAUCUCUGGGCAGUAACUGACGCUGAGGAGCGAAAGCGUGGGGAGCGAACAGG
rnacentral:rRNA from 1 species